AUUAAGACUUACUUAAGACUUGAUUUAGGAUUUGAUUAGGAUUUAAAAUUUAUCUAAGAUUUGAUUAAGAUUUGAAUAAGAUUUGAAUUGGAUUUUAUUAGUAUUUAAGAUUUCAUUAGAAUUUGGUAUAAGAUUAAGAUUUAAGAUUUGAUUUGGAUUUGAUUAGGAUUUAGGAUUUAAGUAGGAUUUAUUCAAAGAUUAAAGUUUACAAUUUGAUUAGGAUUUAAUUAGGAUUUGAAAAGGAUUUCAUUAGGAUUUUAUUAGGAUUUUAUUUAAGUUUUGGUCAAGAUUGGUUUAGGACUUUAUUAGAGUUUUUUGAAAAUUACAUUAAGAUUUCAUUAGGAUUCAAUUAGGAUUUUUUAUUUUUGAAAAUUUAUUUAAGAUUUUUUUAUUU
rnacentral:lncRNA from 1 species